CCUACGGGUGGCAGCAGUGAGGAAUAUUGGUCAAUGGACGGAAUCCUGAACCAGCCAUGCCGCGUGCAGGACGACGGCUCUACGAGUUGUAAACUGCUUUUGUACGGGGGUAAAAUGCGAUACGAGUACCGUUUUGUAAGUACGGUACGAAUAAGGAUCGGCUAACUCCGUGCCAGCAGCCGCGGUAAUACGGAGGAUCCGAGCGUUAUCCGGAUUUAUUGGGUUUAAAGGGUGCGUAGGUGGUUUGAUAAGUUAGCUGUGAAAUACCGAGGCUCAACAGCGGAAUUGCAGUUGAUACUGUCAGACUAGAGUACAGUUGCGGUAGGCGGAAUGCGUGGUGUAGCGGUGAAAUGCUUAGAUAUCACACAGAACACCGAUUGCGAAGGCAGCUUACUAGAC
rnacentral:rRNA from 1 species